rnacentral:rRNA from 1 species
CUGGCGGCGUGCUUAACACAUGCAAGUCGAACGGAGUAUCCUCGGAAGAUGAAGAGCUGCUCGGAGAGAUCUUGGAAGUACUAGUGGCGGACGGGUGAGUAACGCGUGGGUAACCUGCCUCACGACAGGGGGAUAACAGUUGGAAACGACUGUUAAUACCGCAUAAGCGCGACAGUACCGCAUGGUACAGUGUGAAAAAACUCCGGUGGUGUGAGAUGGACCCGCGUCUGAUUAGCUAGUUGGUGAGGUAACGGCCCACCAAGGCGACGAUCAGUAGCCGGCCUGAGAGGGUGUACGGCCACAUUGGGACUGAGACACGGCCCAAACUCCUACGGGAGGCAGCAGUGGGGAAUAUUGCACAAUGGGGGAAACCCUGAUGCAGCGACGCCCGCGUGAGUGAUGAAGUAUCUCGGUGUGUAAAGCUCUAUCAGCAGGGAAGAUAAUGACGGUACCUGACUAAGAAGCACCGGCUAAAUACGUGCCAGCCGCCGC